rnacentral:rRNA from 1 species
UACGUAGGGUGCAAGCGUUAAUCGGAAUUACUGGGCGUAAAGGGCUCGUAGGCGGCCAACUAAGUCAGACGUGAAAUCCCUCGGCUUAACCGGGGAACUGCGUCUGAUACUGGAUGGCUUGAGUUUGGGAGAGGGAUGCGGAAUUCCAGGUGUAGCGGUGAAAUGCGUAGAUAUCGUAAGGAAGACCAGUGGCGAAGGCGGGUCUCUGGACAGUUCCUGACGCUGAGGCACGAAGGUCAGGGGAGCAAACGGG